CAGUAGCCACGGGAAUACGUAGGUGGCAAGCGUUGUCCGGAAUUAUUGGGCGUAAAGGGCUCGCAGGCGGUUUCUUAAGUCUGAUGUGAAAGCCCCCGGCUCAACCGGGGAGGGUCAUCGGAAACUGGGAAACUUGAGUGCAGAAGAGGAGAGUGGAAUUCCACGUGUAGCGGUGAAAUGCGUAGAGAUGUGGAGGAACACCAGUGGCGAAGGCGACUCUCUGGUCUGUAACUGACGCUGAGGAGCAAAAGCGUGGGGAGCGAACAGGAUUAGAUACCCCCGUAGUCCCUGUCUCUUAUAC
rnacentral:rRNA from 1 species